rnacentral:rRNA from 1 species
GACGAACGCUGGCGGCGUGCCUAAUACAUGCAAGUAGAACGCUGAAGGAGGAGCUUGCUUCUCUGGAUGAGUUGCGAACGGGUGAGUAACGCGUAGGUAACCUGCCUGGUAGCGGGGGAUAACUAUUGGAAACGAUAGCCAAUACCGCAUAAGAGUAGAUGUUUCAUGACAUUUGCUUAAAAGGUGCAAUUGCAUCACUACCAGAUGGCCCUGCGUUGUAUUAGCUAGUUGGUGAGGUAACGGCUCACCACGGCAACGAUACAUAGCCGACCUGAGAGGGUGAUCGGCCACACUGGGACUGAGACACGGCCCAGACUCCUACGGGAGGCAGCAGUAGGGAAUCUUCGGCAAUGGACGGAAGUCUGACCGAGCAACGCCGCGUGAGUGAAGAAGGUUUUCGGAUCGUAAAGCUCUGUUGUAAGAGAAGAACGAGUGUGAGAGUGGAAAGUUCACAAUGUGACGGUAUCUUACCAGAAAGGGACGGCUAACUACGUG